rnacentral:rRNA from 1 species
UACGAAGGGGGCGAGCGUUGUUCGGAAUUAUUGGGCGUAAAGGGUGCGUAGGCGGUUUGGUAAGUCUUGUGUGAAAUCUACAGGCUCAACUUGUAGUCUGCACGAGAAACUGCCGGGCUUGAGUAUGGGAGAGGUGAGUGGAAUUCCUGGUGUAGCGGUGAAAUGCGUAGAUAUCAGGAGGAACACCUGUGGCGAAAGCGGCUCACUGGACCAUAACUGACGCUGAUGCACGAAAGCUAGGGGAGCAAACAGG